UACGAAGGGGGCUAGCGUUGCUCGGAAUUACUGGGCGUAAAGGGAGCGUAGGCGGAUAGUUCAGUCAGAGGUGAAAGCCCAGGGCUCAACCUUGGAAUUGCCUUUGAUACUGGCUGUCUUGAGUAUAGGAGAGGUUAGCGGAACUCCGAGUGUAGAGGUGAAAUUCGUAGAUAUUCGGAAGAACACCAGUGGCGAAGGCGGCUAACUGGCCCAUUACUGACGCUGAGGCUCGAAAGCGUGGGGAGCAAACAGG
rnacentral:rRNA from 1 species